AUUGAACGCUGGCGGCAUGCCUUACACAUGCAAGUCGAACGGUAACAGGUCUUCGGAUGCUGACGAGUGGCGAACGGGUGAGUCAUACAUCGGAACGUGCCUAGUAGUGGGGGAUAACUACUCGAAAGAGUGGCUAAUACCGCAUGAGAUCUACGGAUGAAAGCAGGGGAUCGCACGACCUUGUGCUACUAGAGCGGCCGAUGGCAGAUUAGGUAGUUGGUGGGAUAAAAGCUUACCAAGCCGACGAUCUGUAGCUGGUCUGAGAGGACGAUCAGCGACACUGGGACUGAGACACGGCCCAGACUCCUACGGGAGGCAGCAGUGGGGAAUUUUGGACAAUGGGCGCAAGCCUGAUCCGGCAAUGCCGCGUGCAGGAUGAAGGCCUUCGGGUUGUAAACUGCUUUUGUACGGAACGAAAAGCCUUGGGUUAAUACCCUGGGGUCAUGACGGUACCGUAAGAAUAAGCACCGGCUAACUACGUGCCAGCAGCCGCCGUAAAAC
rnacentral:rRNA from 1 species